AUUGAGCAUGAGUAGAUUACUGUUGUUAACAAUAACUCGGACUAACAUUUCCUUGGCCUCAUCAUGCUUCUUUCUCAGCAUAUUACAGAUCUGGCGUCUGCUUUUUCGACAUUUCGAUCAUUUUCCAGAUCCAAAGAUAUUUCCAAUUCCAUCGUAUUAGGAACGUGAGGGUUUUCAAUACUGGAGGCUAUGUGGUCAUGGGAAGCAUUGGAGGUCAUACCUUCCACCUGAUUUCACCAAAAAGAAAGAUCACAAACUCCAAUUCAUUGUGCAACCUGUUCUUCUAUCUUCUUCUCCAACGGCUCUUUGGAGUUUCUGCAAGUGAUUUGGGAA